UCCUCAAAUAGCUCAGUUGGUAGAACAUGAGACUCUUAAUUUCAGGGUUGUGGGUUCGAGCCCCAUGUUGGGUGAA